rnacentral:rRNA from 1 species
GACGUAGGGGGCCAGCGUUGUUCGGAAUUACUGGGUGUAAAGGGUUCGUAGGCGGUGCGGCAAGUCGGGAGUGAAAUCUCUGGGCCUAACCCAGAGGCUGCUUCCGAAACUGCUGUGCUUGAGUGUGGGAGAGGCGCGUGGAAUUGCAGGUGUAGCGGUGAAAUGCGUAGAUAUCUGCAGGAACACCCGUGGCGAAAGCGGCGCGCUGGACCACUACUGACGCUGAGGAACGAAAGCUAGGGGAGCAAACAGG